CCUACGGGAGGCAGCAGUAGGGAAUAUUGCACAAUGAGCGAAAGCUUGACGCAGCGACACAGCGUGAAGGAUGAAGGUCUUCGGAUCGUAAACCGCUGUCAGAAGGGAAGAACAGUCGCUGUGCUAAUCAGCAGUGCAUUGACGGUACCUGCACAGAAAGCAACGGCUAACUACGUGCCAGCAGCCGCGGUAAUACGUAGGUUGCGAGCGUUAAUCGGAAUUACUGGGCGUAAAGCGGUCGUAGGCGGUAUUUUAAGUCAAGGGUGAAAUCCCGGGGCCCAACGUGGGAACGGCUUUGGAAAAUGGCAAACUAGAGUUUGAUAGAGGAAAGGGGAAUUCCAGGUGGAGGAGUGAAAUCCGUAGAUAUAUGGAGGAACAUCAGAGGCGAAGGCGACUAUCUGGGUCAUAACUGACGCUGAGGAGCGAAAGCGUGGGUAGCAAACAGGAUUAGAUACCCUAGUAGUC
rnacentral:rRNA from 1 species